CGUGUAGGCGGUUUAGUAAGUCAGAUGCGAAAGCCCUGGGCUCGACCCGGGAAGUGCAUUUGAAACUGCUUUACUUGAGUAUGGGAGAGGAGAGUGGAAUUCCUGGUGUAGAGGUGAAAUUCGUAGAUAUCAGGAGGAACAUCUGUGGCGAAGGCGACUCUCUGGACCAAUACUGACGCUGAGACGCGAAAGCGUGGGUAGCAAACAGGAUUAGAUACCCUGGUAGUCC
rnacentral:rRNA from 1 species